UUGGUACCCCGGUGACUUAAGCAUAUCAAUAAGCGGAGGAAAAGAAACUAACAAGGAUUCCCCUAGUAACUGCGAGUGAAGCGGGAAAAGCUCAAAUUUAAAAUCUGGCGGUCUUUGGCCGUCCGAGUUGUAGUCUGGAGAAGCGUUUUCCGCGUUGGACCGUGUACAAGUCUCUUGGAACAGAGCGUCAUAGAGGGUGAGAAUCCCGUCUUUGACACGGACUACCAAUGCUUUGUGAUGCGCUCUCAAAGAGUCGCGUUGUUUGGGAAUGCAGCGCAAAAUGGGAGGUGAAUUCCUUCUAAAGCUAAAUAUUGGCGAGAGACCGAUAGCGAACAAGUACCGUGAGGGAAAGAUGAAAAGCACUUUGGAAAGAGAGUUAAACAGUACGUGAAAUUGCUGAAAGGGAAACGCUUGAAGUCAGUCGCGUCGUCCGGAACUCAGCCUUGCUUCGGCUUGGUGCACUUUCCGGAUGACGGGCCAGCAUCGAUUUUGACCGCUGGAAAAGGGCUGGAGGAAUGUGGCACCUUCGGGUGUGUUAUAGCCUUCAGUCGCAUACAGCGGUUGGGAUCGAGGAACGCAGCACGCCUUAUGGCUGGGGUUCGCCCACAUUCGUGCUUAGGAUGCUGGCAUAAUGGCUUUAAACGACCCGUCUUGAAACACGGACCAAGGAGUCUAACAUGCCUGCGAGUGUUUGGGUGGAAAACCCGAGCGCGUAAUGAAAGUGAAAGUUGAGACCUCUGUCGUGGAGGGCAUCGACGCCCGGACCUGAAGUUUUCUGACGGAUCCGCGGUAGAGCAUGUAUGUUGGGACCCGAAAGAUGGUGAACUAUGCCUGAAUAGGGUGAAGCCAGAGGAAACUCUGGUGGAGGCUCGUAGCGAUUCUGACGUGCAAAUCGAUCGUCAAAUUUGGGUAUAGGGGCGAAAGACUAAUCGAACCAUCUAGUAGCUGGUUCCUGCCGAAUUUCCCUCAGGAUA
rnacentral:rRNA from 1 species